UAUAAAUCCCCAGGCUGAGGCACAUUAAGCUUCACUGAGGGAGAAACAGUGCUUUUUAUCAAAGGGCUGGACAGCUACGCGCACAAGAUGUCACCUGCAGGGAUUGGUUUUGCUCAGAUGUGCAGGGAAUAUGUAUAGGGGGAAAGAAAUGUCCGUGCGUGUGCAGGUUUUGGCAGGUGCGCAUGAAGCCUGGAAGGAUUUUCUUUGGAUCCACAAUCAAAAUGGAUUUCCAGGAGGGACCUUGUCUGAGCACAUGCCUCUUUCAUGUGCUGCAUAUGGCCCCAUCCCGCCAGACAGGUCCUCAAGAAAGCGAUCGGCACCUGCUUCAGUUCUGGCCAGAGCUCGUUGGCCCACGUGGUGGGCGGAAAACUGAAAGGAGGACAGAGAAGCAUCUUAGAGACUCGAGGAGGAGUUGAGUCUCUCACCACCUUCCUGCAGGUCUUCUGAAUACUUCUGAGCACAGGAACCUCUUCUCUCAACAGGCAAGUCAGUAGUUAUUGAGAUAAAACCACAACACAGACUCGAGCCAGGGUUAAUAUCAACCAUCCGCUGUCCACAGAGCACUGACUGUGGGCCAUGCAUUGUGCUAAGCACUCUCAUUUAAUCCUUACAACAAUCCCUGUGAGGUAGGUGCUACUACUACCCCAUUGUACAGAUGGGGACACUGAGGCCUAAAGUUCCACAGCUGGUAACUUGCAGAAUAGAAAUUCCUCCCCUGGGCCGUCUGACUCCAGCUAUAGCUAUUUAUGGCAGGAGAAAAAUAGGCUAAGUGUGUCUUAAGAAACCAUCAGUUGUGGUCACACAACCACUCCAAAUAUGAAGAAAACAAUGAAACAGCAGUGGUAAUGGGAUAAUAAUAUUAUCCCAUUAUAUCGUGGGAUUAUGUUGUCUUGUUGUCUGGCAUAAGUUAAUUUCCAUAAUGUUUUUCUAUUUCAGUCAAAGCGGUCUUCUUUUUUUUUUUUUUUUUUUUCUCUUCUAGUGACGUUUCCCAGGUGUAGAAAGUGGGAAUAUGUCAGGCAGCUACAUUUGAGAGUCUUUGUCUCUAUUAAAGAGUUUGAUUGUAACUUCACCCCAAAUCCCUUGGAAAAGACCAGACAGUCCCUGCUCCAGCUCCACUUGGAAGAACAUCGCAAAUGUGGUGGUUUCUGGGCCACUGGUUAGGUUAAGCAAAUGGGUUUCCAGACAUUCAACCUUUAAUGGGAAAGUUCUGUGGCUUGGAUCAGUAAAGUCAUAAAGUGCUCAUUUAAUUAUGUUUCAAGCCCAUUUAUCUGUUUUUGAGUCUAAGGAAGAUGUAUUCCAUCAGAAAGGGUAGAUACAAGGGAUGAGUAAAUGAUUUUUCUCUUUUUUCCCUUGACUCAUUUGAACAGCUGCUUCCAAAUUGAACCUUUAAGUAUGGCAUUUGUGAGUGAAAUUGCCCCCUUUUAUUUGCAAGGUAAUUGAAUCUCAUUUUUCACUUUCCAUUUCCUUCUAGAAGAAUCAAAAUGUUUUUAGAACUUGGCUUCUCCGUGGGCGAUUUUAUAAGGUGGGAACUUCAGCAUCAUACAAGAGACUGGUGUGCUGAUGGCAUUCAGGACAAUUCAAGACAAGGGCAGUCAGGCCUGUUCUCUGCAGCUGAACCAACCCCACCAACCCCCGAGAGCAUAUUGAUUUCACUGUGUUUGCACUUGAAACACCAAAGGAAUGUCCACACCUUGUCCUUGGGCCAGGGCUGAGGGAUAGGAGAGGUAGACCUUUGUCACCCUUGAAGAAGCUGAGGGGCACUAUCACUCAGAGGCAAAGCCUGGAACCGUGAGCUAAAUUGGCUUAGAUUUGUGUCUCCGAAAGUGCUGGACAAAUGAGAGCUGAUUUUAGGUGGCAGGUGGAUGGGACUUUAAAUGAUCUUGAAUCCCAUAGUAACAUAAGAUUAUGUUUCCAACUGUCUUUCAAUUCUUCUGAUUACAUAAAGGGCAAAGUCUCUGUUUGAUGCUCUGUCUUUAACAUUUUUCUCAUCUUGUUUUUUAAAUAAAAAAAAGACCAGGCCUGAGUCUUGGGCCUUUAGAAGGUAACAGUUUACGGUUUCCAUUUAAUAACAUUGUUUCAUUUUUUAUUGUUUUGUUCUUAUGAUAACUUUUGAUUGAUGGCAUUUUAAAGGUCGGAUAUAAAGUUUUAUUUUAAGACAAUGGGUUAAGAUUUUUUUUUACUUUUUUUUAAAGGUUAUUUAUUGAUUUUGAAACAGAGAGAGAGAGUGAGAACUAGCAGGGGAGAGCAGAGAGAGGAAGAGAGAGAAUCCCAGGCAAGUUCCUCACUGGCAGCAUAGAUCCUGAUGCAGGACUCUAACUCAUGAACCGUGAGACCAUGACCUGAGCCUAAACCAAGAAUCAGAUGCUUAACUGACUGAGCCACUGAGGCGCCCCAAGAUUUUUUUUUUACUAUUAGUAAAUGAUGUUUGUGUGGUUGUGGAAAAACUCACCUGCAUGGCAUCUGAGCGCUACAGCCUGGGAUGCACUGGUUUCAGUGGACCAGCAGGAAACUGGAGGAAGAUUGGUUUCUCCCAAACUCACAGAUGUGAUUCCCAGUCAUUCCUCUGCCCUCACCAACUGGGUGCUUAGCUCGCUUGAGCUUCAGUUUUCUCAUCUGUAAAGUGGGUGUUACGAGCAGCUGUAGGAAAGCGGGCUUCUUCCGUUUCCUAAGACCCAGACGCUGACCUCUUGGUGGAGCCUCAGGAAGUCAGGUUCUCUUCCUUCGAGGUUAGUUGCGUCCUGUUUCCUUCAUGCAGAGGCUCUGAGUUUGCCGCUGGCUGGGAGAAAAAGUGAGUCACAGUUCAUCACCCCUGCAGCCUGGGGGAGAAGUGUGCUCCCGGGGCCAGAGAAUCAAGCAAACCCAUCUGGCCACGAUGGCUCAGCAGCAUGAAGGCCGAAGAUUUGUGCACAGGCAGGCUUUCCCUUCUCAGGCAACAAAUCUUUGGCAAUCGGAGGCAGGCUCUGGAUUAAGCUUAAUUAAAAUUCAGUCUUAAUUAGGGCCAUUACUUAAAAUCAACUCUAUGUAAUGAAGCUGUGUAAUCAUAAUUAAGCCCAGAAAUGGAAUUAGGAAGCACAGAAUGUUAAAGCCAAACACAGAUGGGCCCAGGGCCUAUGAGGACAGAGACAGGACUUCUGGAUUCAACAGAAUUUCAAAUAGCUAAGGACCAAUGAUUGCAUUGAUGCGAACCUUGAUGGCCAUCAGGACAAUGAACUAAUCAGAAAGAGGAUUCGGGAUACAUGGGACCCCAAGAUGCAAAGCUUGUGUGACAUUACAGGCAAGAGGAUGGGGCAGCAUCAGGCAGAGGGGACCAAUGUAUGUUGAGGAGAAACAGGGGCACUUAGCAACAUUUUACAUUGACAACUUCCUCUGUAUCCAGCACCGUUCUGUUGUGUGUGUGUGUUUUUAAAUGUAUGAGCUAAUUUUAUUUUCACGAUCACUCUGUGAAUGGGUAUUAUUAUUUCCUCCAACUUACAGAUAAGGAAUCUGAGGCUCAGAGAAGUUAAGUAACUUGCCAAGGUCAUGCCACAAGUAAGUGGCAAAUACUAAAGGCUGCACAAAUGGUACUUAUUAUUAUAAAGGUACUAUCUGUCUGUUUAACUCUGUUGGUCAGAGUUAGUAAAACCUACAAACAACACAUGUGCAGAAGCUAUACCUAAGUCCCAAGUGAGGUCACUUACCCAUGAUUGUCCCCAGAUCCAAAGCCUAUGCCUCUAUUUUAUUUUUUUUAAGUUUAUUCAUUAUUUUUUAAGUUUAUUUAUUUGAGAGAGAGAGAGACAGAGAGGCAGAGAGAGAGGGAGAGAGAAAAUUCAAAUGUCCACACUGAUAGUACAGAGUCCAAUGCAGGGCUUGAUCCCAUGAAUUGUGAGAUCAUGGCCUGAGACGAAAUCAAGAGUUGGAUGCUUAACUGACUGAGCCACCCACGUGCCCAAGCCUAUGCCUCUAACACUGUCAGGAUAGGUCAGGCAUUUAGGUUCAGAGAGGAAGGUACUAUCAGGUACUAAUUCCAGAACUGCAGAGCUGGAGGGGGAAGAGAAAGGAAGAGAGAGUUCCAUCUGAUACUUGUUUUUUGGCUUAGCAUUUUAGUUUUCCUUGCUCAGGAGACCCUGGGAAUUAUACUCAGGAGUGGAAAGGGGAUGUUUGAGCACCGGUAGCUUUCCCUCCCUCCCUGAGCUCCCUAUUGUUCAGAGCAUGGCUCAUGUCUCAUACCUCUUACGCCAUCAUCUAUCUGUCUAUCUAUCUAUCUAUCUACCAACUCUUACACCGUGUGUUGUGUGUGUAUGCACACAAAUACCAUGCUGUCCCAGAAAUACUGUCCAGUCUAGGGUGCCCUCUCAGACUCUUGUUUUUGCUCUCAAUCAAGUCAGACCAGCAGGAAGGACUUCUCCAUGCCCAGAUUUAGAACCAGAUAUGCCAUUGGUGCUGGAAAUGUCCUGUGGUUCAUGUUUCCCAAACAGCCUCAGGCCCACCCAGAGAUUCCUCUCAGUGUCACUCACUCCACAGUGCUCACCUCCAGUGAUGGGGACAUCACUACUUACUGAGUUAAAUCCUUCAGUUCUGGAAGAUAGUGUAGAAGGGACAUUUGGCUUAGGCCUAGGCCUAAUGAUCAUGAAGGCCUUCCAAUUCCAGACUUUUGAUAUCAUCUCUAAAUGAGUGAUACACACAAUCCAUAUGUGGAAAUAUUCGUUUGUUAAAUGCAAAUGUUUCAGUCAAAUCACAUUUUAUUUUAUUUUUUUUGCAAGGAUGUGUUAGCCUUCCCCAUUUUUUUAUAUACCAGGAACCUGAUUGUAAAAGAAGACACAUCAUGGCCUGGUCCACUAUCUACAUCUAGGAGGCCCCAGGAAUUAUCAAAGACCUUUCCAUUGCAGUGUUUCCACUCUGUGUGGAGGGUUAGGGAACAUUGGCUUGGUGAGUGCCUCUUGCUUAUGCCCUGGGUGUCCUUAGCAUGGAGGCAUGGGAACUAGAGGGAGGUCUUGCUCUGAUUAAAAGGGGUUUAAGUUUGCUGCCCAAGACCAACAUUACAUAGCCAAGAGCACUGCUGUUUUGAGGAGGAGGGCAAACGGUGGGGGGAAGAGAGGCCGUGGCCAAGUCAGGUUUCUCAGGAUCCUAGAGACCCUGCUUGGUAAGGAAUGGAGCAAAUUCCUUGUGCACAUGCCAGGCCGCCGAACCACACAGUUCCAGGGGCACCCUACGCGUGGUGUUCUAUGCAAAUGUCUCCCAACGGGGUUGUGCCACAUGGAGGCCCUGAUGCAAACCCCAAUCCCAAAGGGCACUCCCAAAGUAAGCUGGUGCUACAUGAGGGGGCUGAACCCCAGAUUGCAAGGUAUUCACAGACACUGGCUCAUGAGGAGGCCACCGUCCCUCUCCCACCCAUGACCUCUUUGUCCUUUAUCCUGAGAGCAUCUGCCUCUAUUUACACUAAAUAGCUCCAAUGCCAUUUGCUGGUUCCUGUAUUUUGGGCAAGCUGAGCUGGAGGCCCCUGCAGCCGGUCUGAGCAGGUAGCUGUGCUGGUGAUGGUCACGCGGAAGGUCCUGCUCUUCCAACAAAGUUUAGCAAACACCUUAUCUCCCAGAAAACAGAUGAGGUAAUGUUUAUGAAAUAUCACUCUGUCCCUUUCCACUGGGCUGAGGGGUGCCAGUGUGACCAACUUGUGCCAGAAGGUGGACUCUCCUCAGCCACCUUGCUCCCCCAUUCUCCUCUCCUGCUCCCUCAUUUGGGUAAGAAACCUCACUUAUGUCCUUUCUCACCGUAGAUGGUGGGAGAACAGGACUCUCCAUUCUGGACAGUCCAUUCAGGACUCACCUUGGCCUUUGUGUCUCCAGUUUUCAAGGCACAUUCACAGCUCCCUUAUGUGAGGAAACUGAGGCAGAGAGAAGUAAAGCAUCUUGGCCAAAGUUACAGGCAGGGUGGUGGCUGCACUGGGGACCCAGGGUCCUACUUCUGAACUGCUUUAUUUGUGAUCACCAUUCAUUUAAAGAUUCCUUAUUUUUGAGAUGGCUGGCUGGAUGGAUGGGUGGGAGCUAGCCAUAGAGACAGAUCAAAGAAAGAUAGCUCACAAGCAAGUAACAGGUGGAAAGAUAGAGAUGAUUGUGUAAGUGUAGAUGGUUCCUGAAGGAUACAGAAAAACACCGUGGACAAUAGUUGCUCCAGGGAAGGCAAUGGGGAAUCUGGGUGAGAGAGACUGCUUUUUAUUCUUCUUUACCUUUGCUUCCUCUGAACUGUUGAAGUAUUUUUCUUGCACACAUAUUAGUUUUUUAAAAUGUUUGUUUAUUUUUGAGAGAGAGGGAAGGAGAGAGAGAGAGAGACAGCAGGGGAGGGGCAGAGAGAGAGGGAGACAGAGAAUCCCAAGCAGGCUCCACACUGUCAGUGCAGGGCCUGAGGCAGGGCUCAAUCUCAGGAACCGUGAGAUCAUUACCUGAGCCAAAACCAAGAGUCAGAUGCUUAGCUGACUGAGCCACCCAGGCACUCCUGUACACAUACUAGUUUUAAAAAAUUCCCUUUUCUACUUUUAUUUGUGGUAUGAUUUUCAUGUGUUUGUCCACAGGAGAGAUUGGGAGCCCACACUCCAGGAAAGUCACAAGAGGCUCUAGGAAAAGAACAGCUGUGGAAGAAUCUUGUAGAUAAAGAACAAUAACAGAAAUCACUGCGCAGGAGGACUGGAAGGGAAUAAGACAAAAUGCUGCCUUUAGAUGUCUGGCCAGGAAGAAGAUCUACAUGUUCAUGAAAACAUCACAGGAGAAAUAAAUGUGAAAGAACAUCAGGGGAAGAUGGACUCAUGUCUUGGAGUAAGAUCUUGCAACUUUGUCAUUUUGUAGUUUGUGUCUCUUGGUGGAGGAGAUUCCAUCCACAGCCAGUGGUGGUGAUCCAACACUGCUGGGCCAUUCCUGGUUCCCUUGCUGUGAGUGUGACACAGGGUGCUCGUCCGCUCUGGCUGAAGGGAAGAGGGUCAUGAAUGGAGAGCAAGGGGAGGCAGAAGGGUGGGCCAGUGGGAUCCGGGAGAGCCCCAAGGAGCUGGGCAACCAAAGCCAAGAGGAGCACACCAACUGCCCAUGGGCUAAGGUCGGAAGUCUGGGGAAGCUGAGACAAAAAAAAAACGGGGGUUCAGCAAGGGGCACACAGAUACUCAAAGCAGAGGGGAAAUUCUACUUAUGGACCUUCAUGGCAUUCCAAAAUUAGUUAACCCCUGGGAGAGGCUAAAUAUUGAUAGUUUUUCUCCCUGUCCCUCUGGCCAACUGUCUUUUUAGGGGUCCCCGUUAGCCCCAUUAUAGCUCAGCCCACCUCAUUCCUUUCCAUUCUGUUCACCCCACUCUGUGCCAAGCGCUGCUUGGCGACACCAGAGGACUGUGUGUUGGGAUAAGGAAGAAACAAGGUAAACGUAUUACAUGACUAGUGCUGUCUUUCGGGCAGGGGCAACAUGGUAGCUGAUGGGCUGAGGCGGGCAGGAAAGGCUUCCAGAGGAGCAGGUACUGAGCUGAGUCCUCAAGGACACUGUGAGCAGCCUCCCAGCACAUCUGAGAGAGGAGGGCGAUUUCUGGAAAAUACAUAAGAGUGACGGAUGCCCCUGCCAUGUGCCUGGUGGAUGUCAGCUUCUGAAUUACAGGUGUGUUCAGAGGAGAUCUGGGGCCAUGAGGCUACCACACAGGUGGAGUGGCCUCCAAAGGGCAUUGACUGACCUGCUGAGGGAUCUGUAAUGAGGGGAAGAGACAGGUCUGAUUUGAACUUGGCAGUGGGUGUCCAUGUGAGACAAUAUGGAGAGGUACCUCUGUUAUCCUCGGUAUUGUGUCUUCAUUUGGGGGAGAAGAAAUUCUAAAUUUAUCAUUUAAUCAGAUGACUUUAGAAAAGUAGCUAUCUAGGUGCUGAGAAAAUUGGUUCAUUCAUUCAUACUUCAUUUAUUCAUUCAAAACAAUUCUUGUACCUCAGUUUAUAUUUCCUACUGCUUAAAUUUCCGUGGUGUCUACACAGAUUGUUAAGGCAUUGUUCUAAUCUCAAGAACCUUAAAAACAGAAGGAGGGGAAGGUGAGGACUAACCCCAUGGUGUUAACCCAUAAACUGAGCUGGUCACAUCACCACCUCACCACUACUUAAAAUGUCCCAGUGGGUUUCUAUUUCUCUCAGGAAAAGUACAAACUUUUAUCCAGGCCAAAACAUCCCUCUAUGGCCUCACCUCCUGAGACCCAUCUCUUAGCACCUCCCUUCUUUUCCCUCCGUGCCAGCCUCAUUGUCCUUUAUGUGGUCCUUGCCAGACUGUCUUCAACCACAGGCCCUUGACACAUGUUGUUCCCUCUUCCACUGUCAUCUCCCUGGGUUCAUGUGCACUCAUCCUUCUAAGUGCACAUCAAUGCUGCUUCCUCGGGGUAGGCUUUCCUGGUCUAUUUAAAUUGACUCCGACCUUAGUACACAACUCAUACUCCAUAUAACAUCCUUCAUAAGUCUUAUCCCAGUCACAAGAAUUUUUCAUUUAUGUACAUGAUAACUUUAUUAAUAUCUGUAUUCACCAGACUGUAAGCUCCAUGAGAACAAGGGCUGUGUCUUUCCAAAAAAUCAACUUUACUGAGGCAUAAUUUUUGUACAACAAACACACCCACUUCACACGCACAUUUCAAUGAGUGUUGACAAAUUUACACAAAAAUGGAUUCACUGUGUAACCACCAACACGGUCAAGAUGGGGAACAUUUCCAUCGCCUCAAAAAGCUCCUCUGUGCCUCAUCCCAGUCAACUCUCUGCUUUGCUUCCUAUCUCUAUAGAUUAGCCUUUUCUAAAGUUUCAUAUAAAUGGAACCAUGCAAUAAGCAUUGUUGUGUCUGGCUUCUUCCAUUCAACAUAAUGUUUUUGAGAGUCAUCCUUGUUGUUGUAUCAGUGGUUCAUUGCUUUUUGUUGCUGAAUACUCUUCUCCAGUUGGUUCAUGGAAAUUACCUGUGUCUCUUCAGGUAAGCCUUUAGCUCCUUAAGGACAGAGGCCACAUUCUUUGACACCUCUGAUACUUGGUGUGGGCCUAGGCACAUAGGAGACCUUUGGGAGUAGCAGAGUCCAUCUUCCCUGACCCAGGGCAUGGGAGUGGCUACUCUGUACCCACAUUCAACAGUCACCCUGAUACUCACAGUCUUCCCCUCCAUGCCCACAGGCUGACCUUCUUGGCCCAGGGAUCCCAAGCACAUUUACCUCCUUCAGAAUCAGUCUGAUGCCUCUCACAGCAAUGCAGAGAAGUCCUGGGCCAGCCACAGCAGCCUGGGAGAUCACAGGCAGAUCAGAUCCCUCUGACACUGGGCACGUUGAUUUCCUUAACUGCCAAACAGAGACACUGCUGUCUACCUCACAGGGCCACUAAGUGGGCACAUGUGUGUGGAAGUGCCACUUGAAGUAGAAAACACAAUACUACACAGUAAGAGUGAAUUUAAUCAUUUAAUGGAAUUAACAAUGGCCUGUGUUACUUGGGACCCCUUUUCCCUCUCAGGAUCUUCAGUUUCUUUACCCAUCAGAUGAAAAGUUGAGCUAGAGUUCCCUAAGAUGCCUUCUGUCUUGAACCUUCUUGGAUUCUAAGGUGCUGGAAUAUGAGAGAAAGGGCCUGAUGAUCCAGAAUUAGAAAAAAAUUUGUGUGAUUUUUUUAGAAAACAACUGACUUCUCUGAAAGUUCUCUUCCUGAGUAAAGGAUUCAGCUCUAGUUGUGAGAACAAACCAAUGUUUUUGCAUUAAUAGCCUUAAAUCUGCCACUCUUUCCAAGCCUGUCAUGGAAAGUACUAGAGCUCCUUUCUUCCCAUGUGCUGGCUGGUGCUAUGUGGCACGUCUUUUGCUGGACUAGAUCUUUGAUGGGUCCCCAUUACUGGAAGAGCAGGAACAGCCUCCCCUUUUGCAAAAGCCAAUAGUUCAGUUCAAAUGACUCUUUGUGGGCCCUGUCACUCAACAAAGGAUUCCUGAGGGCCCAGGUGUGUUAGGGGCUUUAUAAGUGUUGUCUCUCUCUCUGCCUGUGCUGGAAGUCUUAGACCAAAAUUUAAGAUGGAGAAAUGGCUCAGUGAGGUGUGUAAAUGAUCAAGUUGGAGCUAAAUCACCAGGUCCUCCUUUCUGCUCUAAUAGGCCCUGCACUAGGCCCAGGGGAUUCCAAAAUAGUUCAGUCACACUUGAAUUCUUAGAGGCCAGGAAGCGAAAGCAAUAGUUUAAUAUUUAUUGAAGAGAAACCCAAGGCUGUCAAGGUUGUCACUAACUCACCAUCUCGUUCAACUCCCUCAUUUUACUGAUGAGCCGACAGGGGUCCAGAGAAGGGGUCUGACUUGCCUGGAGUGACGCAGCCAGCUGGCUGCCAGCAGGAGCUGUUACCCAGGCCUUCUGACUCCCAGAUUGGGGCUUUCAUGGCCAGAGCAUGCCCUGGGGCAGAACGGGGACUGUGGCCAGAAACAAGGAAGUGUGGAAUUAGGAACAAGGCUAUAUUUCCAAAUCACUGUCUCCAGCAUGCCGGCUGGGAGCGAAGAAGAAGAAUGGCGUUCUGGGAACCAGUCAGCAGAAACCAUUUCAUAACUGCCCUUAAAAUAGUACAAUGCUGUGUCCUUUUCCCGUGACCUCUGGCAGACUGCAGGACAAAUCUCAGAACAACCAUUUUGUGAGACUGCAUUUCCUUGCUCCCCCCCGCACCGAGACCCUCGCGUCAAUGUAAAGACCCAAGGACCUCGGAGUAGCAAUUCCCAUUUUGCAAUCGGUACCAACUCCGUUUGCUAUUUGGUCCCAAACCCCCUUUGUUUUGAAAAAUCUUGGCUAUUAGGUUGUGUUUAUUAAUCAGUCCCCAGUUAUUUCCCCCAUUCUAUCAUUCUCAAAGACAGAACCUCCAGAUCAGUGUGAGGUGAUCAGUGAAUCGGUGGACACUGGCAAGUGCCCUGAGUGCCCACCACCCAUCAGGGCUCAUGCCGGGUAAGCAUGCAGCCAUCUUGGCUCCUUGGAUCUUCCCACCAACCCUGGGAGGUCGGUACCCAUUUUCCCCACCUCAAGUGCAGUGAGCAGUGUUCAGGAAGGCCAUCGUGCCAGGACAUGGCAGAGCCAGGAAAUCUGAGCCCUGAGCUGUGCUGGCAAGGCUCCCCCAUUAGCCUGGGUGUCUUACCGCCAUCAGAAAGAGCACGCAGGCACUCUGAGCCUAGAGCCCCUGACUGCCUCUAGGGGAAGCCCUUCUAGAGUCUGAGGUGUCUGAGGAGCUGUGGAGGGGCAAGGUAAGAUCCAGAAGGACCCCCAGCCAUCCCGGGAACGAACACUGGAAAGGGCCACACAGGGCUCCUCAGCAGUGGGCAUGGUGACUGCUCAGCCAACAGGACACAGGCUUUGCACAAGCGGGCACAUUCCCACAGAUGACUCAGGAGGCAAGACGAUAGGAUGGGGUUUGCAAGUCAGACCCAGACUGGCCCAUCUCAUAGCUGUGUGAACUCGAGCCUUGCUUUUCUCACCUGUAAAAUGGGGCCAAUACAAGCUACCUCAGUGUUACUUCAGAUGAUCUGGUGAGAGAGGUGUUGCCUGAUGCCUGGAAGAUAGUUAGGGCUUAAUAAUUGAGAGCUGCCCUUCUUGAUGCAGGGCGGGUGUUCCUCUGAGUCCCCCUUGGCCACAAACUUGGAAUAUCCGAUUUCUGCUUCACCCAGAGUCUGCAGCACAGUAAGACUGUCGGCGGCUGUGACCCAGGUCAUCUGCACCGGCCUCCAGAGCAGCCCUCUGUGAGCCACUGACGCCCGUUGCCAAUCGGGGUAGAAGCAUGCCUACUCCAUGCCACGACCUGGGGCGGCCCUCAUGCCAGGACAAUGGUGCUGGAACACUGACCUAGAGAAGCUGACCAUAAAUGGGGGGUAAAAUGGGGGUGCUAAUGGUUCAGAAGUUUGUUUUUAGGGAAGAUUUAAUGAGGUAAUAUAGGGAAAGGACAGUGCCGGGCUCAUAAUAUGUGCUCAGUAAAACUUAGCCGUAAUCAUAAGAAUUAUUAUCUCCUAGUGGCCAAGUAAUAUCUUAUUCUCUCAAAGGCCAUGUAGGGGUGCAAUCAUCACUUUCCCAUUUUACAGAUGGGGAAGUCAAGGGGAGGGGCAGGAACCUCCCCAACACGCAAGGUGUAGAUCCUUUCACUUGCACCCCGUGGCCAUCCAGGUGGCUCUGGCUGGGCUCUGGUCACCCAGUGGGCAGUGGUGAGGUGGUGCCUUGUGCGGGAGCAGAACCCCUCGAGGCUCUUCGACCUCCCUCACCCUCCCGGCCAUUUCAGACUUUCCCCGGCUACUUCCAAGCACGCCAGGACUCAGGCGCAAAGCUGCAAGAGCUGGCCUCCAGGGGGCAGCAGGAGCCUGGGAAACUCUAGGCUGGCUGAACUAGGAAUCCGAGUGCCACAGGCUAGCCAGGGUGCCCUGCGGGGAAUGUUGACCGGCUGAGGGCCAUGCUGCCUGUGCCUGGAGCUGAACUCAGGG